GACCCAAUGGCAUAACGGUUAAUGCACCUGCUCCGAUUAGUAGGUCUUGUAGUUUCCGCAGGAGAUCCUCGUUCGACUCGAGGUUGGGUCA